rnacentral:rRNA from 1 species
GAUGAACGCUGGCGGCGUGCCUAAUACAUGCAAGUCGAGCGAACAGACGAGAGUUCUGGCGCUCUCUGACGUUAGCGGCGGACGGGUGAGUCACACGUGGGUAACCUACCUAUAAGACUGGGCUAACUUCGGGAAACCGGAGCUCAUACCGGAUAAUAUUUAGCUUCGCAUGGAGCAAUAGUGAAAGACGGUUCUGCUGUCACUUAUAGAUGGACCCGCGGUGUAUUAGCUAGUUGGUGAGGUAACGGCUCACCAAGGCAACGAUACCUAACCGACCUGAGUGGGUGGUAGGCCACACUGGGACUGAGCCACGGCCCAGACUCCUGCGGGAGGCCGCAGUAGGGAAUCUUCCGCAAUGGACGAAAGUCUGGCGGAGCAAUGCCGCGUGAGUGAAGAAGGUUUUCGGAGCGUAAAACUCUGUUGUAAGGGAAGAACAAGUACGUUAGUAACUGAACGUAGCUUGACGGUACCUUAUCAGAAAGCCACGGCUAACUACGUG